rnacentral:rRNA from 1 species
CCCUUAGAUGUUCUGGGCAGCACGCGCGCUACAAUGGUCUUCGCAAACGGAUGCAUUCUCGAAGGAGAAUGCCAAUCUUGGAAUCUAUGCCUUGGUCGGGACAGUUGCUUGCAAUUUUUCGACUCGAACCAGGAAUUCCUUGUAAUCGUGAUUCAUCACAUCACGAUGAAUACGUCCCUGCCCUUUGUAAACACCGCCCGUCGCUCCUACCGAUCGAAGAGUUAGGUGAAUUGUUUUGAUCGAUAAGAUUUGACUAUGGUCAACUCUCGUUGUGAAAUUCUGUGAAUCUGACUGUUUAGAGGAAGGAAAAGUCGUAACA